rnacentral:rRNA from 1 species
UACGUAGGGUGCGAGCGUUGCCCGGAUUUAUUGGGCGUAAAGGGCGCGUAGGCGGCCACGCACGUCCGUUGUGAAAUCGCUCGGCUCAACUGGGCGGGGUCAGCGGAUACGGUGUGGCUAGAGCAAGCUAGGGGGCAAUGGAAUUCCCGGUGUAGUGGUGGAAUGCGUAGAUAUUGGGAAGAACACCUGAGGCGAAGGCGGGUUGCUGGGCCGACACUGACGCUGAGGCGCGAAAGCCAGGGGAGCAAACGGG